rnacentral:miRNA from 1 species
ACACAGUGCUUCAUCCACUACU